AGCCACUUUCUUCAAAAAGGAGAAGAUCUUGCAAAUAUCAAAGGGAAGCAAAGAGAGUUUAGAGAAGAAGUUGCAGGUACAAGUUCUUGAUGCGCAUGGAAAUCAUAAGCAUCCGGAUGGGAGUUUUCAGUACACGAGUACUUUAUUAUUUAAACUAUCUUGAAUUUUAUAUUUGACUUUACUUGACCAAUGGGGUCAAGGUUUGACUUUUGAAGAUGGGACUAGUAUGGGAUAGUCUCGGAGUUUGUAUUCAUUUACAUACUUUCUUAUUUCCGUUGUAUUAAAAUAUUUUCAGUUUAUUUUAAAAGACUUCCGCUGUAUUAUCUGAUUAGCCUUACGUAUUAUCAUGCGUGGCAUAACAACUCCCGCAAUUUCUCCUAGUUUAUAAAAGGAGGAGUCGUGGGGGUGUUACAAUAAUGGUAGCACUUGGAUAUGAUGAUUUAAGUGGAGUUUGUAAAGGUAUUAUAUUACUC